rnacentral:rRNA from 1 species
GCUUACGACCAUAUCAUGCUGAAUGCAGCGGUUCUCAUCCGAUCACUGAGGUUAAGCAAUGUCUAGCCUAGUUAGUACUGCUUGGAAAACCGCGGUACUGUAAGCA